rnacentral:rRNA from 1 species
GAUGAACGCUAGCGGCAGGCUUAAUACAUGCAAGUCGUGGGGCAGCAUGAGUAGCAAUACUUGAUGGCGACCGGCAAACGGGUGAGGAACACGUACACAACCUUCCUUCAAGCGGGGAAUAGCCCAGAGAAAUUUGGAUUAAUACCCCAUAAUAUAUUUGAUAAGGCAUCUUAUUAAUAUUAAAGCUUCGGCACUUGAUGAUGGGUGUGCGGCUGAUUAGAUAGUUGGCGGGGUAACGGCCCACCAAGUCUACGAUCAGUAGCUGAUGUGAGAGCAUGAUCAGCCACACGGGCACUGAGACACGGGCCCGACUCCUACGGGAGGCAGCAGUAAGGAAUAUUGGACAAUGGACGAAAGUCUGAUCCAGCCAUGCCGCGUGAAGGAUUAAGGUCCUCUGGAUUGUAAACUUCCUUUAUAUGGGACGAAAAAGGGCAUUCUUGUUCACUUGACGGUACCAUAUGAAUAAGCACCGGCUAACUCCGUGCCAG